CAUAUCGGUUUUAAAGCUAUGGUCUCCGUGCUUAUUUCUCUAUGCUAUUCACUAUAGGAGGUUUCAAAAAAUAUGAAAUAAAGUUUUUUAAAAACUUGAUUUAUUACGAUAUUACAAUUAAGAUGAAUUAAGUAUAUGCAUUCAAAUAGUUUUGCCUCUGAAAUUAAAGUUUACUCUUUUUUCUAAGAUUUUAAAAUUUUGCAGCUUUUCAUCUAAGUCUCAGUUUCCUUAUAUACUUAACCAUGAGUACAAAAAGUGAAAGCGAAGCUAACUCAAAGUACCAUUCUCAUAUUUCAAUCAAAUGUCAGCUUCUUUGGCUGCGGCAUCAGUAUCAACAACAACAGCAGCUAUAAAGUGCGUCACUGUUUGUGUUGGAGUUGUGGGCUAAACUUGUCUUCUUAUCUCCUACUCAAGAUAUGUUCCAACAGUGUUCGACAAUAUCUAUGCAAAUGAUGUAGUCAAUGGCAAAACUGUCAAUCUUGGUCUUUGGGAUACUGCUCGUAAAAUAAUUUGUCACUUUCGUUAAAAGUCUUGUUCUUCUAUCAGGUUUGUAUUCUCAACAUUGUGUCAAAUUCUAAUAUUUUGACCCUUUAGGAGAAAUGAUGACUUUGUUUCUCAACAAUCUAGAAGUUUCUAGGUAUUUUAAAAAGAAUGGAUCUUUACUCUUAACGCUCGUCUUUGCCAACCAUUUGAUAUAAAAAAAAUGCUUCCUGAAUUCAUGAUUAAAGUUCGUUCAUGUUUUUCAAAACUAUUAUCAGACAGAUUAUAAUUCUUGGGCAGUAUCUUUGGUGUUUUAUUAUGAAUAUUGUGGAGUAUCGUAUUUGGUAUUUUAUUAUAUUACAGGUCAAGAAGAUUACAAUAGGCUUAGAUGAGUUAUAGAGAGGAGCAGAUGUUUUUAUUUUUGCCUUCUCUCUUAUCAACAGGCCUAGCUUUGAGAAAAUUGCUAAAAAGGUUUAAACUUUCUUUCCACUUCAGUUUCACUGCAAUGUAACUUUAUCACACACCAUCUCAUGUGCUUCUGGUUCAAAUUUCUUUUGCAGUGGGACAUUGAGCUGCAACAUUAUGCCCCUAACGUGCCUACCAUUUCAUUAAACCCAAACUGGCAAAUAAAUAUUACAAUGCAAGGAGGAAGCCCAAAUUAAGAUUACAGCCCAAUAACAAUUUUAAUGACCAGCACGUGUAAUCUAAGAGAAGCUAUGAAGAUCUCGAGAUGUGAUGUCAUCGCUAUCUCGUUUCCAGCGAAACCACCACCAUAAUCCUUUUCUUUUGUCAAACCACCACCGUAAUCCUAGUUCCAGUUCUAGAACAUCAUCCAU